rnacentral:rRNA from 1 species
AACGAACGCUGGCGGCAGGCUUAACACAUGCAAGUCGAACGCAUCGCAAGAUGAGUGGCAGACGGGUGAGUAACGCGUGGGUAUCUACCUAGUUCUACGGAACAACAGUUGGAAACGACUGCUAAUACCGUAUACGCCCUAUGGGGGAAAGAUUUAUCGGAAUUAGAUGAGCCCGCGUAAGAUUAGCUAGUUGGUGGGGUAAUGGCCUACCAAGGCGACGAUCUUUAGCUGGUCUGAGAGGAUGAGCAGCCACACUGGGACUGAGACACGGCCCAGACUCCUACGGGAGGCAGCAGUGGGGAAUAUUGGACAAUGGGCGCAAGCCUGAUCCAGCCAUGCCGCGUGAGUGAUGAAGGCCUUAGGGUUGUAAAGCUCUUUCACCGAUGAAGAUAAUGACGGUAGUCGGAGAAGAAGCCCCGGCUAACUUCGUGCCAGCAGCCGCCGUAAGAC